AACGAACGCUGGCGGCGUGGAUAAGACAUGCAAGUCGAACGCUGAUUAUAGAGUAGCAAUAUUCUGUAGUCGGAGUGGCGAAAGGGUGCGUAACACGUGGGUAAUUUGCCGUGAAGUUGGGGAUAACUCGCUGAAAGGCGAGCUAAUACCGAAUGUGGCCUAACAAGGCUAAAGUUGGGGACCGUAAGGCCUGACGCUUCAUGAUAAGCCCGCGGCCUAUCAGCUAGUUGGUGAGGUAACGGCUCACCAAGGCUAAGACGGGUAGCUGGUCUGAGAGGACGACCAGCCUCACUGGAACUGAGACACGGUCCAGACACCUACGGGUGGCAGCAGUCGAGAAUUUUUCUCAAUGGGGGAAACCCUGAAGGAGCGACGCCGCGUGGGGGAUGAAUGGCUUCGGCCCGUAAACCCCUGUCAUUUGCGAACAAACCUUUCGGUUUAAUAUGCCGAAAGCUGAUAGUAGCGAAAGAGGAAGGGACGGCUAACUCUGUGCCAGCAGCCGCGGUAAUACAGAGGUCCCAAGCGUUGUUCGGAUUCACUGGGCGUAAAGGGUGCGUAGGUGGUAGGGUAAGUUUGACGUGAAAGCUCCGAGCUUAACUCGGAAAUUGCGUUGAAUACUAUUCCACUAGAGGGUUGUAGGGGGGACUGGAAUUCUUGGUGUAGCAGUGAAAUGCGUAGAUAUCAAGAGGAACACCAGUGGCGAAGGCGAGUCCCUGGACAACUCCUGACACUGAGGCACGAAAGCUAGGGGAGCAAACAGGAUUAGAUACCCUGGUAGUCCUAGCUGUAAACGGUGCACAUUUGCUGUGAGCGGAAUCGACCCUGCUCGUGGCGAAGCUAACGCGAUAAAUGUGCCGCCUGGGAAGUACGGUCGCAAGAUUAAAACUCAAAGAAAUUGACGGG
rnacentral:rRNA from 1 species